UACAGAGGGAGCAAGCGUUGUUCGGAAUGACUGGGCGUAAAGGGUGCGUAGGUGGUUUCCUAAGCAAGGCGUCAAAGCCCUGGGCUCAACCCAGGAAUCGCGCUUUGAACUGGGAGGCUAGAGUGCGAGAGAGGAAAGUGGAAUUCAUAGUGUAGAGGUGAAAUUCGUAGAUAUUAUGAGGAAUACCAAAAGCGAAGGCAGCUUUCUGGCUCGUUACUGACGCUGAGGCACGAAAGCGUGGGGAGCAAACAGG
rnacentral:rRNA from 1 species